UCUUUCCCUCUCCCGGCUUGAGUGAAGAUGUGGAUCUGGAUAUACUGAAAGCUUAGGUCUGCGUUGUGAUGUCAGUCAGUGUCAUGGAAGACAUGCUCCUCAGAGUCACUUAGUGGACCUUCAGUCUACUAAAAAGUCCCUGGAGCAAGCCUGAAGAGGUAUGUGGCAUCCAACUUGUCCUUCAGAAGAACCAGUUAGAAGACCUUGGGUGACGUUCCUAUGUUGAGACACAUGAGGGCGCUCAAAGCAACUGACACUGUGGGGAUGUUUUCUAAAUUAAAAAAAAAAGAGAGAGAAAGAAGAAAGAAAAAGAAGAGAAGAAAAGGAAAAUAAAAAGCUGUGAACCUUGGCUCUGUUUGAUUGGC